GGCUGUAGCUCAGUGGUAGAGUGCCCGCCUCGCACAUGUAAGGCACUGGGUUUGAUCCUCAGCACCA
rnacentral:tRNA from 1 species